UAUGUAGGUGGCAAGCGUUGUCCGGAAUUAUUGGGCGUAAAGCGCACGCAGGCGGUGCGGUAAGUUUCGAGUGACAGGUGGUGGCUUAACUGCCACAGGACUCGGAAAACUGCUGCACUUGAGGGCUUGAGAGGGACGCGGAAUUCCAGGUGGAGCGGUGAAAUGCGUAGAGAUCUGGAAGAACACCAAAGGCGAAGGCAGCGUCCUGGCAAGUCACUGACGCUCAGGUGCGAAAGCUAGGGGAGCGAGCGGG
rnacentral:rRNA from 1 species